GAGACGCCGAGCUGCGGGGACCGUUAUGUGAUGUAAGGAGCACGGCUUCCUGGACGUGCCUAUAGAAAGGGCCUGUAACUACAACGUGUAUGAAAUGCCCACUGACUGAGGCAGGUCACCGCUGCGGUCAGUGACUGGCUGGGUGAGGUUUCCUAUGUAUUGGGAUGGAGAGCAGGACGCCUUUACAGCAGCGGGAAAAACACCAGUAAGGGAACAGUAGCAGUUCCAGUCACAUGUGGUACCCACAGGAACUGCUCCACUCAGGAGAACAUGGACCACAGCAGUUUCCCGCAUCAGUCAGUGACUGGCCUAGCAAGGAAUGUUUGCAGGAACAAGGAAGAAGGAGUGAUGAGCGGAGACUGGGAGUUAUCAAAAGGCAGUAGCGGGGAAUAG